UGGGAGUCUGACAGAUGGGAGUGAUAGUCCCAGCAGCUCAGGGCGAUCUGCAUGGAUGCUAUGAGGCUUUCCUUGUGUUGCUGAUGUGAUUUGGUGGUACAAGGAAUAUUCAGAGGAUAGCAUGUCUUAACCUGACAGCCCAGAAGAGUUUUUUCAGGAUCUAAAAGGAGAGCUGCACAGUGCUCCUGUCAGAAACUGGGUGGGAAACUCACUGAUCAAGAAAGACAAGAACGGGCUGACUCUACAACCACAUCCCAAGACUCAAGCAGUCAAUGGAGAAUAGGCAAACCUCAUUUUAAAAGU
rnacentral:lncRNA from 1 species